rnacentral:rRNA from 1 species
CCUGAGAAACCCAAAAGAUCGAAUGGGGAGAUUCAUCGUCAGCGAUGCUGGUACGUGUGCGGUUCGCGAUGCCGGGGACUUCGGUCUCGUGGCACGCGUCCGCAUGUUUUUUAUUGCCUGGCAUCGUCGGCGUGCACUUCUCCCCUAGUAGGACGUCGCGACCCGUUGGGUGUCGGUCUACGGCCCGGGUGGGCGCCUGUCCCGUGUGCGCUUCACGGCGUCACUGCGGGGCAGACCCCCGGCUGCCCGACCGGCUGCCCGGCGGUACUCGCAAGGUAUCUGGCCGCAAAUAUUCGAACUGCGUCCGGCCCGUCGCAAGCGAGGCAAGUGCUUCCCGAAUGUACGGAUCUAAUGCCGUCAUCGGGCCUUGCCAGCUGUUGGUUGACGGUGUCCUAGGACUGGCUAUAACAAUUAUGAUACCGGUCAGCGACGCUACUGCUKUGGG